rnacentral:rRNA from 1 species
GAUGAAUGCUGGCGGCGUGCCUAAUACAUGCAAGUCGAGCGAACAGACGAGGAGCUUGCUCCUCUGAUGUUAGCGGCGGACGGGUGAGUAACACGUGGAUAACCUACCUAUAAGACUGGGAUAACUUCGGGAAACCGGAGCUAAUACCGGAUAACAUGUUGAACCGCAUGGUUCAACAGUGAAAGACGGUCUUGCUGUCACUUAUAGAUGGAUCCGCGCCGCAUUAGCUAGUUGGUAAGGUAACGGCUUACCAAGGCAACGAUGCGUAGCCGACCUGAGAGGGUGAUCGGCCACACUGGAACUGAGACACGGUCCAGACUCCUACGGGAGGCAGCAGUAGGGAAUCUUCCGCAAUGGGCGAAAGCCUGACGGAGCAACGCCGCGUGAGUGAAGAAGGUCUUCGGAUCGUAAAACUCUGUUAUUAGGGAAGAACAAAUGUGUAAGUAACUAUGCACGUCUUGACGGUACCUAAUCAGAAAGCCACGGCUAACUACGUG